GACGAACGCUGGCGGCGUGCUUAACACAUGCGAGUCGAACGGAAAGGCCUGCUUUCCCUUGUGGAUUGCGGGUACUCGAGUGGCGAACGGGUGAGUAACACGUGAGUGAUCUGCCCCCAACUUGGGUAUAAGCCUGGGAAACUGGGUCUAAUUCCCGAUAGGACUGCAGGGUGGUGCCUGUGGUGGAAAACGAUUUUCUAGUGGUUGGGGAUGAGCUCGCGGCCUAUCAGCUUGUUGGUGGGGUAAUGGCCUACCAAGGCGGCGACGGGUAGCCGGCCUGAGAGGGUGGACGGCCACAUUGGGACUGAGAUACGGCCCAGACUCCUACGGGAGGCAGCAGUGGGGAAUAUUGCACAAUGGGCGGAAGCCGGAUGCAGCGACGCCGCGUGGGGAUGACGGCCUUCGGGUUGUAAACUCCUUUCGACCGCGAGGAAGCCACCUGGUUGGAAGGGUGGUGACGGUAGUGGUAGAAGAAGCACCGGCUAACUACGUG
rnacentral:rRNA from 1 species